AUGCAAGCCAAGACUGCGCUACUCUAUUUGAACUAUGCAUUUUACGAAUAUGCUGACAGGUCCGCCGACGAGGAUGUGGAUGAGGACGAGGUUGAGCCCCCUCCCGCCACGAUCUCCUUUUGGAGGCUAUUCAACUUCGCCGAUGGCCUCGACUGGGCACUCAUGGCCGCUGGCACAGUCGCCGCCGCCCACGACGCAGGAUUCGUAGUCUACCUGGACUAA
rnacentral:rRNA from 1 species